UGCUCUGUUUCUUGUUCGGUCUGUUAACAGUGUGUUGUCUCCAGGACCCCAAAUGGCAAAUUGGGUCUGUUUACACGCCAGCAGACGCUGUGGCUCAGGCGCUAAAGACAAUACCUCUGAGGGACACCCGUGUUCUUUCAAGGACAAUCGUCGAUUGGUUUACAAGGUUUGAGAAUUGAGCCAACCUCGUGUAUUGUUAAGAAAUGGUAAAAAUAUGUAUAUACAUGAGUCAUGGUAUUACAAAUAUCUUUAUUGUUAUUGUCGAGUCAACGCAAAAUAUGGGAUACAAGUCUUGUUUAUGAUUGCUGUAUCAUUGGAUUUGCAAUAAAAUAUUUAUGUGUAUAUUUUGAUAAAUGACAUAGAUAGGUCAUAUAUAUUCGCUGAUUUUCCGUGGAAGAAGGUUUGUCGAGUUGCAAAAAUGUUGUAAUUUGAAAGUUGCAUUGCAAAAUGCAUCUGCUUUUCCCAGUUCAGUUCCAGUCAAAGGUCCGAAUUUUACAGCCUCUUCCCUAGUCUGGCUCCAAAACAAGAAUCGAUCUCGAGGAAAGUCAGUUGCGAAGACAAUGGCAAUCAGAGUAGACGUUGUUUCAUGAAUAUUAAACCUCCUGGUGAAGUUAAUUUUGUGUAUGUAUAAAUAAAAUGAUCAAAUAUAUAAAAAAAUUAUCGAUAAUAUAUACAAAGAAAUUCACCAUGCGCCUUGGUUUUAUUCUAGUCUAUUAAUAUAAAGAACACUAGAUUAAGAUUCGUGCCUUGUGCGGGAUAAACAUUAUAUAUAUAAAUUAUUUUAUGUAUUAUAUGUUCUUACAUAUUAUGAAAUAAUAAAUAUAUAUUGAAUAAUUAAAUGUCAGUAACUAUUACAUAUAUAAUUAAAUUGGUGCGAACGUAUAAAUCAAUUUUAUUAAUCCAAACAAUUUUUUUUAAAAAAUAGGAUAUGUAAUUAAAUUUAAAUGAUAUUAACAUACAUAGUAUAUUUUUAAUAUUAAUGUCUAUUAAAUGAUGCUUCUACUCAUAUGUUUUUUUGAUCAUGUGUAUCUUUAAUAGCAAAAACUUUAAAUUACUGAUAACAAAAUUUUCAUUGUGGGAUUAAUAAUUUUAGUAAUUGAUAAUUAAAAAAAAUGUAUCAAUGCUAGUUCAAAACUUUUAUCAAAAACAUUUAUUCAAAAUAAAUUUUCAAACUAAAAUAUUUAUUUAUUCAAUAUGGUUUAUAAUUUAAUUAGAAUGAUAUAUAUACAUAUAUAUUUUAAAUCUUAAUUAUUAAUUUAAUUAGACUUUUACUUAUAUGAUUUUGUAAUCAUUUGUAUUUUGUCAUAACAAAAAUUUUAAACCAUGGAUCGCAAAAUUUGAAUGUGAGACUUUUAACAGUUUUAGUAAUUUAUAGUCAUUUUUAAAAAUUGAAAAUAUAACAUAUACAGAAAAAUCUAAUUUUUUAUAAUAUGGUUAUUGUGAUUUUUUUUAAAUUUUUUUUUAAUAGUUUAAAAUUAAACAAAUUUGAUAGAAGAUACAUUAUUUUUUUAUCAGAUCUUUAUUAUUCAAAAUCAUUAAUUGUCAUAUAUACUUUACUCACAUUAGGCAAUUCCGUAAUCUUUAUUUAAGGAAAUAAUAAAUGACAUUAAUAAUGAAUUUAUGAUUAUUUUAAUAAAAAACUUAUUAUAUAAUUAGAUGAACCAACAUAUUUUUUUGAUAAUUCUAAGAAUCAUCUUAGUGAUGACACGUGGGUUCAAAAAGAAGUUGUAAUGUUUCACAAAUAAUAUAUCGGGGAUUUUUCUCUCUUCCUGUUGCUGCCACAUCAAUAAUCACUCCUCUCAGAUUGACAUGUGUCCUAUUUUUUUAUUCUCUUCAUUACUCUUAUUUGUGGACUUAACAAUUGAACUAAAUGGGCUUACGAAUUGAAUGUUAUCUAUCUGACUGGUCAAACCCAUUAUUUUUUUUUGUAACACGGUCAAACCCAUUAUCUGAACUCCGUAAACUACCUUUCCUCUUCGUCUUCAACAAUUACUUCGCUUUCUAGGGUUCAUGGUGUUUUCAGCUCAUGUUCAUAAUCCGACCAUGGAGUUUCUGGAAGGUGAUGGGACUUUUAACGGUGAAUAUCUAGAGUGAAUUGUUGUUCGUGUCGUUUGGAUUUACGCCGGGUAAGGGGAAUUGAUGUUCGUGUCAUGAAUGACCAUCUUAACUCCUUCAUUCCACUUACGAUUCCUCAUUCAAUUCACUGCAUCUCCCUUGACUCUCAGUCGUUGAAUCUCUAUGUAUAAAAAGGUGAGCCUUCAUCCCCAGAACAUCACCCUUUCAUUCCUUACAACCCAAAAAACUUCCGUAGAGCAAAAUGGCGAACUCAUCUGUCCUCCUUGCUGACAAUCAAAACACAUAAGAGGUAACCUUCAUUUCUCUCUCUUUAUAUGUAUGUUUAUAUGUAUGUGUAUAUUUCUCAGUACAUUGUCUUAGAAAUAAGCUUAUUUGUUUUGUUGGAGCAGUUGAUUUGUUGCAGACCUUGCGGGGAAUGGUAACAUCAAAUAUGUGUUCUUUACAAUCUACAUAAAUACAUUGACACAACCGCAUACUUCUUUUGAUUGUGUCAGUUGCUGUUUUUUCUUCUCAAUUUUCAUACUUCACUAUUACAAGACUCAAUCAAGUCUGGCUGAUGUAGUUUAUCACUGCAACUGUUUAACUUUGUUCCAAAAUAUCUGUUCUGUUGAUACUUGAUGUUAACUUUCUGUGUGGCAAGAGUAACCAAUAUUUGACAUAGUGCCGAGGCCUAUGCUCGAGUCAGAGCGCAUUUGAUUUCACAAUAGAUUUUCUUACAUGGGUCCGACAAUAUGGUUUCACCUAAAUAGUUCUAGCUUUAUGAAUGAAUCUGAACCAGAGCCGGUUGGUAAUGUUUGUUAAUUAGUCCGAUCUAUGAGCUUUUUUGUCACAUUUCAACUGAGAUGUUAACUUGGUAGUUCUUCUUGGACACGUGAGAGCAGGAGCCCAACCGAAAUAACCAUCUCCACCAAUGACUAGAACACUUAGAUUUUAAUGAUGAGUUAUUGGUAGAUGUUUCAGGUUGCGGUUGCUCGGAAAUGACAACUUCUUCUCUUCUGUUUCUCUUGGAAGACAAGUACUUUGAGAGAAUAUCUGAAAUGACUUUAGGAUUGAAGGUCUGCCUUAAACCAAACGGUUUAACCAAACGAGUUAGGCAAGAGGAGCACAUGGGAGGUUAGGCAGGUCCAGUGGUAGAUAAUCUUCUGUAGCUGUUUUCUUAACGUGGGUGAUGAUAUUGGAGGAGAAGCCGACAGAGCUGCUGCUGAUAUCGGUUUGUAGACAAAUUUUAACUUUACACAAGACAAAUUCGACUAUGAUAUAUACUUAUAACAUAUCCAAAUAUUCUGAUAUAAAGUUACACGACCUUUGAUAUUUUUCUGCGUAUAACCAGUAUGCAACUUACAGAGAUAUAAUUUAUGUUCAAUUUAUAUUAUUUUAGUUAUAAUUUAUCUAUAUUUUGUUUAACAAUAACCAACACAUUAUUAUUUUCUUUAUCACGAAGAAUAAACCUUAUGGGAUGUUAGAGAAGAAAAAAAUAUUCAACAUAAAAUGAGUAUUAAACAAAUCGGCUUAUUACAAUAAGAUAAUCCCAUCAAACAAGAAAUACCAAAUAAACACCCAAAGCUAUCAUCAAUUGCUUUCUGUGUCAAAGCUAGAAUCCUAACACUCGCCUUACACAAUAGAAAUCUCCAUAGAUUGUAAUUGUUAUCAUGAUUCUACGAUUUACUACGUUAACCGAAACAAACCACAGUUAAUACACUUAAUUUGUUAUUAUUUUAUGGUCCAUUUGCUAAUUCAAUGCAUAAAACAAUUUAUAUUAGUUGCUACAACAAAUUAUAAAAACUAAAAUAGCCUCUAUAAAUCAAUAUACUACUAGCAUAUACAAAUCAUAUAAAUCAGAGGCCACAGCAAUAGUUCAACUACAAAAGCUCAUGUUAUUUCCACUAAUGCAUUCACAUAACCAAAAUCACAUUCCAUAAUAUGUUUAAAACACACACAAUUAAUUAAAAAGUAUAGUCAACUGCAAAAGCUCAAAGACAAUUCAAAACACAUGAUCUUCAUUCUCAACCGUCUAUCCAGUGAUUUGAACUUGGUAUACAAACAAACUAACUACAACAAUGUCAGUAGCCAUAUUAACAAAAAAAACUAUCAUAUAUGGUAAAUUAUAUUUCAAAUGACGAGAUGAUCAUGUAUGUAAAAUAGCGUUCCUGCGUAAACAAAAUUGAUAACUAUCAGAUUAGAUUCCUUCACCUUCUGUUACCUCAUGUUACUUUAUGCAAACAUCUAAUAUUACAUAAGUAAUUUUAUAAUUAAUUAUAUAUUUUAACUCGAAUAAAAUUCUAUCAAAAUCCUACUGUAAAACUAAAUUUAGUAAAAAAAAAACAUAAUCCAGUAAUAUAUAUAAAAUUAAAUGAAAUAAAAAUAUAUGAAUCUAUUUACAAGUUUGCUUCUUUUCUACUAAAAAAAUGAAAAAAGGAUCUCACUGAUUUCUUGGUCAUCCAACCCCCGAAAAUCACAAGAAAUGAUGUAACCCAAAUUUAAUUCUUAAUUUAUAAUUAAAACUUAAAUUAUUAAAAAAAAUAAAACCUUUAAAAAAUAAUAUGUAGUAUUUAUUUUUUUUAAAUCAUAGCCAGUUUUUGGAAAACAUGGUUUAUUUAGAAAAUCAUAUCUUAAAAAAUAAUAGGUAGUAUUUAUAUUUAAAAAGCAUAACCAAUUAUUAUUCAGACAAUAUGGUUUAUUUAGUUUUCAAAUUCAAUAACACAUAACUUUUUAACAAAUAUGUAUAUUUUAAAUAAUAACAACUAAUAUUAAAUAUUCAUUCUGAUUACUUAAAUUAUUUACUAGUCUGUUUCCCGCCCGUAGGGCGUACUUAUCCUAGUGAUAUAUAUAAACGUGAUGUUAAGGAAACCGAUUAAUCGAAAACGAUGAAAUGAAAACGUUUUCGAAAAACAGAUCGUUGAAUCGAGAUGAAUCUUUUUCCUUAGCUCUUAAUAUGAAUUAUAGUUUCAGGUUUAAACCACAACUAGGUAAUAAUCCGCCGUGUGCGGGGUAAAAUAGUUGAUUAUAUUAUUUAUUUUACGCUGUAAUAAGAAAUUUGUUGUCUAGCUUUUUCAAGGGAUGGACAUUCAGAUAUCCGUUCGGAUUCAGUUGAUCUAUUCAGAUUUUGACUUUUAGAGUUAGAAAUAUAAAUACGAUUCUGAUAUUUAAAAUUUCGGGUUGACUUUGGAUUGGAUUUGGUUCGAAUCAUUGCAUGUGCGGUUCGGGUACCAAUUUUAAUUAUGUAAUUUUGAACAAAUCCAAAUAUACUUCAUCCUCAAAAUCCGAAAAUAAAAAUAAUAUAAAACAUAAACAUUUGAAUAAUUUAAGACUAAAUAAUUAAAUUUACAUAAAAAAAUAGUUCAUUUUAAAUAUUUAGAUGGAAAAUAUAUAUAUUUUUAGUAUUUUGAACAUAUUUUGUUAUUUUAGAUAUAUUCAUAUUAAUGAAUAUCUAAUAGAUAUAAAAUUUAAAAUAACUAAUAUAUUUAAGUAUAUAAUUGUGUUUUAGAUAUUUUCGGUACCUAAAAUAUUUCAGUUUGGAUCGGAUUCGGGUCUAGUUAUCAGGAUAUUAAACUUUUAGAUUAAUUUGAGUACUUAAUCAGUUUUAGUUUGUGUUUAGUAUUACUUUCAAAUCAAGUUUGGUUCUUCGAAUCCAAAUAUUUUACCAAGACUUACUUUCUUCUAAAAAUAUAAAGAAAAAUAAAUAAAUGUAAAACUAAUAUGUUAGGCUUAUUUUACAUACAUAAUUAUUGGAUCAUACUUUAAGAAUACCAAUAAAAAUGGUUGGGAAUCGUGUCAAUAUUGUUGAACAUGUAAAAAAUUGACGUAGUUUAUAAAAAAUAACUAGACUUUGAUCCGCGCGUCCGCGCGGAUAUAUUUUUCAAAAAUAUGUUUCUAUUUGUUUUUCAUGUCAAUAUUGAUUCCUCCUCCCCCCAAUUUUAAGAAACCGCGUGCCAUUAUCAAGUUCUUGGGAGGCGCCUUCGUCGGAGCUGUCCCUGAACUCACCUACAGGUUCUUUUAUCCUUUAUGCCUUGAUGGAUGGAUUUAUUGGUUUAGAUAUCUUGAGAAAACUGGAAGAUGUUAUUUUGUGAUCUCUAGUUACCUCAAGGAGCUACUGGCUAAAGAAGGGUAUUUGAUUGUAUCUGUGCCAUACAACGUCACUUUUGAUCAUGAACAAGCUGCCAAGCAGGUUUACCAGAGGUUCAACUCCUGCUUGGACGCGAUUGUCUUAUCUGGAGUUCCAAAUGCCAAUUUGAACCCUCAAGAUCUAUCUAACCUUCCUGUUUUCUCUGUUGGUCACAGGUUCUCUUCUUGUCUCCUCAGCUAAAUCUGUUCACUUCAUCCUUAUGUUUUGUUUCUCAAUCUUAUGAUUUCUCUGUGCUCUGAAUGCUGACAGUAACGGUGCGCUGCUCCAAGUUUUGACCGGAAGUUAUUUUUCUGACAAGAUACCAAAGGUUUGGUUUCUCGUGAACUAAUGUCAAUAAAAUGCUUCGUCUUUAUUUAUAACUAAGUAAGUGAAGAAAAAGUGAUAUCUCUUGUUAAAGGUUAAUGCCAUCAUUUCAUUCAACAACAAAUCAGCCACAGAGGCAGUUCCAUAUUUUGAGCAGGUAAUAUUACUCAUUGGUUGUUACCUUAUGAUUAGUCUUCUAAGCUUUACUUAUUGUUAUAACCUGAGCUACAAUAGAGUCGAAGCUCCACGUGUUCACUUAAGAAAUAAGACUAGCAGUGCUUGUAUCUUAGAUUGCCUAUGUUGCCUUUGCAGCUUGGUCCUCUCAUCCAGCAGAUGAUGCCAGUCGUGGAAGCUUCUCCAUUAUAUGAAAUAGCUCGAAAUGCUUCAGGUGUUGCUACCAAACGCUACAAGCUCUAAUGCAGAUCUUCUCUCAGUUAACCCAACCCAUUCAUUAGUAGAAACAAUGUUUUUAGUCUUUCUUGCCUGUUAAGUCUUAGCAUAGGAUAAGUGAACCUUUCUAGGAUGUGAUUUCAUGCUGAGAUGAGACUUGUUAUCACCUUUCAGGUGAUGGCUUGAAAGCACUACUCGAUACCGCUGGGAAAACGAUUCUGAACAAUGAUCAAGAAGCUCUCAAGUCAUUUACUAAUUUGGUGGAUCAAUUGCCCUCAGUAUUUGGUGAGGUAUUUCUUUACCCUAGUAGUAUCCAAGGUUGUUAGAAUGAUUUAUGUUGUUCCUUUGUAAUUGACCAAGCCAUAAGAGAACUUAAAUUUUUUUUUUGCUCUUUUGUCUUGUUGUUCUAUCAAAAGGUUGGACAAGGGGUGUCGGAAUUCAGACCAUCACCACUUGAGAAUCGUACUUGCUUCAAAUGCUCCUACAGCGUUCCGCACACUUUACUGGUAAUGCGCACACACACAGAUAUUUGUUUUUGUUUUCUUGCAUUGAUUUUUAGUAGAAAUGAAGUCUCUGCGUGAUUCAUAUGGUCUCAGGUACAAUUCAACUCUGAUGCAAUCGACGAGACUGAUUUACUGGAAGAAACCCUGAGGCCUCGGAUAGAAUCUUUUGGUGGUACACUUGAAAAGGUUCGGCUGAACGGGAACCAUCUCACACCUUGCAUACAGGUAUAAAAACAGAGCAAGUAUAGAGCUAGUAACAUCAUUGCUCUGUUUCUUGUUCGGUCUGUUAACAGUGUGUUGUCUCCAGGACCCCAAAUGGCAAAUUGGGUCUGUUUACACGCCAGCAGACGCUGUGGCUCAGGCGCUAAAGACAAUACCUCUGAGGGACACCCGUGUUCUUUCAAGGACAAUCGUCGAUUGGUUUACAAGGUUUGAGAAUUGAGCCAACCUCGUGUAUUGUUAAGAAAUGGUAAAAAUAUGUAUAUACAUGAGUCAUGGUAUUACAAAUAUCUUUAUUGUUAUUGUCGAGUCAACGCAAAAUAUGGGAUACAAGUCUUGUU
rnacentral:lncRNA from 1 species